AGUUGACACGAGAGCAUAAUUUUCUUUUUUGACUCAUUUUAUCACUUUGUCUGCCUUUUAAUGGCUGUUAUCUUUUUUUCCUCCUUUGAGGAGCUGUAAAAAUCCAGGCACCCAGCCCACUGUGAGAACAGCACACCAGUUUUGCAGUGGCUUUACUCCUAUCUACAUACUGAAUGCCUUUACCUGGAAAAGGCAAAUAUCACAGGAGUCUGUAAGAAGUAGACUGUAGAUAUUGCAGCUUGAAUUUGUGAGAGGACUUCCCUGGAGCCUGAACCACCUCGCUCCAGCUCAAAGGAGAGCCCAGCCCUCUGUCUUUCUUAAAGGCCGGUACAAUAUCCAGCAAGGCACCCUGGCAGCCUAUGUAGUAAGACAGUAGCUCAUCAAGCUCCUGACUGCAGCGUGUCCCAGCAGGCUGCAGAAGGGUCAUGUCUUACACAGAGUCCCCACUGUGGCUUUGCUCUGCUGGGUCAAGGGAAACAUGAGGUGACAAUUUUUGCCCUUUCCUAUUAAUAGUUAAAAUGGUAGAAGGAGAAAGAAGAGGUCUGUACGGAUUUUGUCUUCAAGAUUGAUUUUAUAAUUUCAGGGGAACAUGGAAAGAUGGACCCGCUCCAAGGCUUUUGACUUCCCACACCUUUAAGAGAGAGACAGCAGGAUGACAUCUCAGAUGCUCUGUAGCUGUCCCAGAUCGUGAC
rnacentral:lncRNA from 1 species